rnacentral:rRNA from 1 species
AUUGAACGCUGGCGGCAGGCCUAACACAUGCAAGUCGAGCGGAUGAAGGGAGCUUGCUCCUGGAUUCAGCGGCGGACGGGUGAGUAAUGCCUAGGAAUCUGCCUGGUAGCGGGGGAUAACGUCCGGACACGGGCGCUAAUACCGCAUACGUCCUGAGGGAGAAAGUGGGGGAUCUUCGGACCUCACGCUAUCAGAUGAGCCUAGGUCGGAUUAGCUAGUUGGUGGGGUAAAGGCCUACCAAGGCGACGAUCCGUAACUGGUCUGAGAGGAUGAUCAGUCACACUGGAACUGAGACACGGUCCAGACUCCUACGGGAGGCAGCAGUGGGGAAUAUUGGACAAUGGGCGAAAGCCUGAUCCAGCCAUGCCGCGUGUGUGAAGAAGGUCUUCGGAUUGUAAAGCAUUUUAAGUUGGGAGGAAGGGCAGUAAGUUAAUACCUUGCUGUUUUGACGUUACCAACAGAAUAAGCACCGGCUAACUUCGUG